rfam:Kuraishia capsulata CBS 1993 genomic scaffold, Kuraishia_capsulata_scaffold_2
GCGCGAGUGGUUUAGUGGUAAAAUGGAUCGUUGCCAUCGAUCCGCCCCGGGUUCGAUUCCCGGCUUGCGCA